rnacentral:rRNA from 1 species
UGGGGAAUUUUGGACAAUGGGCGAAAGCCUGAUCCAGCAAUGCCGCGUGUGUGAAGAAGGCCUUCGGGUUGUAAAGCACUUUUGUCCGGAAAGAAAUCCUUGGCUCUAAUACAGUCGGGGGAUGACGGUACCGGAAGAAUAAGCACCGGCUAACUACGUGCCAGCAGCCGCGGUAAUACGUAGGGUGCAAGCGUUAAUCGGAAUUACUGGGGGUAAAGCGUGCGCAGGCGGUUUGCUAAGACCGAUGUGAAAUCCCCGGGCUCAACCUGGGAACUGCAUUGGUGACUGGCAGGCUAGAGUAUGGCAGAGGGGGGUAGAAUUCCACGUGUAGCAGUGAAAUGCGUAGAGAUGUGGAGGAAUACCGAUGGCGAAGGCAGCCCCCUGGGCCAAUACUGACGCUCAUGCACGAAAGCGUGGGGAGCAAACAGGAUUAGAUACCCUGGUAGUCCACGCCCUAAACGAUGUCAACUAGUUGUUGGGGAUUCAUUUCCUUAGUAACGUAGCUAACGCGUGAAGUUGACCGCCUGGGGAGUACGGUCGCAAGAUUAAAACUCAAAUGAAUUGACGGGGUCAUAGCUGUUUCCU